CCAUUGUUACGGGAAAGCUGCAGCAACCAGAAAUUGAAGUGAAUCACUCCGAAGGGACCCUGCCACCUGAGGAGUUUAUGUUCUCGUACAUUGAUCCUCAAGGAGUAAUACAGGGACCGUUCAUUGGAUCUGACAUUAUUUCAUGGUUUGAGCAAGGGUUUUUUGGGACUGAUCUACAGGUCCGCUUGGCAACUGCUCCAGAAGGGACUCCUUUUCAAGAUCUAGGCAGUGUCAUGUCGUAUUUAAAGACGGAAAGUAUGCAAGCCCACAUCAAUGAUCAAAUCAUCGAGCUAGAAGAGACUAAUAGAAAAGCAAAUUCGGAGAUUGGUUUAUCAUUUGCACCCGUACAAGAAUCUAAUGGUUCAGCCUUAGGUCACGAUAAUGUUCAAAUGAAGUCUAAAUCAGAAGCUUAUGUGAAACCACCACAUGUUGAUGACCGAAGUUUCUUGGACUAUUCUGCUCAAGAUGAAGGUUUGUUAUUCUACUGACCUUUUCUCACUUGUGUGCAUUUGUGUGGUAUAAGACAUUUCUUUCUUCGGUUUUAUAUGCUUGUGUUCAUGAUAACUAAACAUACUUUUCUAUUUUUUUCUUAUUCAGAAAUCGUAUUCCCAGGAAGAGCUGGAGUUUCUGGUUAUGGAUCGGCAAAAUCCUCUACAAGUAUGCAUGAUGCUUUAAUGGGAGUUUCUGGCCACCCUGCUAUUCCUGUUGAAUCAGCGAAGGUUGCUACUCAAAAUCAGAAUGAGAAUAAGCUGCAUCCGUUUGGUGUGUUGUGGUCUGAGCUAGAGAGCAGUAAUACACCAGUUGAUCUUUUGCCUAACAGGUCGUAUGAUACAGGACAUGACCAGAAGUAUCUUGAUCAAGCUCAGGAUUUGGAUCAUUUAUUAACUCUCAAAUUGCAGCAGCAGCAGCAGCAACAAAAGAUUCAUUUGCAGCAGCAGCAGAAGAUUCAGUUGCAACAACGUCAACUAGAGCAAGAGUAUCAAUUACAACAGAAGCUCUUACAGGAGCAACAACAGUCCCAUGCUCGGAAUUUACAUUUUCAACAGAUUCUUCAGGGACAGACUCCUGAUUCAAGACUUGGGCAGUCGCAUGACUUCCAUCGACUCAACAAUGUUGAUCAGAUGUUAUUAGAGCAGCAACUAAUGGAUGAAUUGCAGAGUUCUGGCCAUAGAUCACAAAAUUUUACACCGUACAUGGAGCAGCUUGCCGCUGGAAAUUUUGGGCAGUUACCACAUGAAGGUCAUCAAAAAGAGCUACUUGAACAGCUACUUUCCGAACAAAUGCAAUCUCAGUACAGACAGAUGCAUUCUCAACAUGGACACAUGCAAUCUGAACCAAUACGGUCUUUGGAGUACCAGCUACUGCAACAAGAUCAGCUCAUGCAAUUGGCUAAUGGAGGGAGGCAAAAUACAUUAUUGGAGGAACUGAGACAUAUUGACCCUCAACAUGGACACUUGCAGUCUCAGCCAAUACGGUCUUCGGAGUACCAAUUGAUGCAGCAAGAGCAGCUCAUGCAAUUGGCAAAUAGAGCGAGGCACAAUACCCUAUUGGAGGAACAUAGACAUAUUGAUCCUCUAUGGCCAUCCAACCGUAACGAUCAGCUUCUAGGAGCUCAUCCUGGGAUCAACCGUUCACACUCUUCUGCGGGAUUUAGACCAGUAGACUUUCAUCAACAGCAGCAGGGGCCACCCUUUGAGGAUCACUUUAGUCAUCUUGAGCGGAACCUUUCAUAUCAGCAACAACUUAAUCAGGAAUUAUUCGAGCAAGGUCUACCCUUUGAGCGAUCUACAUCGUUACCCAGAAAUACAUCGGGGCUGAAUCUGGAUGCUGUAAAAGGUCUUAACUUCUCUGAGUUGCGGGAUGCCCAGAUGCAAUCCUCUGGUAGAUUAGGAAAUUCUACUCCGGGUUUCAGUCAUCAGAAUCCCCAUAUACAAUUAGGUGAACGUCAUUUUUCAGAAAUGGAACCAAGGAAAGAACGCUGGCAUGGAGCAGAUACACAGCUAGCUGGUGGCUGGGCUGAAACUCAGUUUCAUAGACUAAAUACUGAAGCUGACCAUCAUAAAAUGAGGUCAGAAAUGAGGAGAGCUGGCGAAGAUUCCAACUCAUGGAUGGUAGAUGGACAUACGGAUGAAAAGUCAAAACAGCUUUUUAUGGAGUUGCUUCACCAGAGGCCUGGCCAUCAACCUCUCGAAUCACCAAGCAUGAAUCGUGGGGAACCCUAUGACAGGAUGGCUGCUUCAGGCUUCGGCUUUGCAGACCAUGGUGGUAGGCAAAACGCUUCAUCUUCUUUUGGGUCGCACGCAUCUUCUGAUGAACAUGUAAACGGAUUACCAGGAGAUGGGAACUAUAUGGGAUCGUUGCAGCGUGAUAAUUCAUUACUUUCUGGAAGUACCGAUGGUGGAAGAAAAAAUGAAACUAAAGACUUCAGUAAUAUGCUUGGUAUGAGCAAAGACGUGAAUGACAUCAGAACGUGGAACAAUGCACCACCGAAAAAGGAAGGAGCGGGGUUGAUGUCAUUUGAAGCACAAGACAGAAUGGGAAAGCAAGCAGUAAUGGAUUCCUUGGUUCAAGGGGAGGUUCCUGUUGCUACGCUUGGCAGACAGUCUUCUUCCAGUAUCUCUGGUAUGUAUCUUCCAGAGUUUAGAUUUCCUUUUCCCUGAAUAUAUCAUGUUUUUUUUUGUUAUGGGGGCUUAUGUUGAUAUUUUCUUUCUGCAGAGUCAUACAGUGACAACUUGGUUGGAGAAGUUAGAAAGGAUAGGUAAUUUUGUACUCUUAACGUUUAGCAACCGUAGAUUAGGUUAGUAGUAAAUCGCCAUGUGAGCUCUUAUUUGAUGAAAUGUUUUUAUUGUUAUAGGUUGGUAGUUCCAUCACACGGGCAGGUAUCAGUUUUGUUAAAAAGGCCUCCCUCAUCGCAUGAGGGAUUGCUCGAGCAGAUGUCCGAUGCAACUAACAGAACAGCAGUGGGAAAUAAAGGGUCAAAGGCGUCGUUCAGUGAGAUGUUGAAGAAUAGUAGUAGCAAUAGCAGCAUGAAGAAAGUGGCAGCAGAGCCAUCUUCUGAUCCAAACGAAGGAAACAAAGGCGGUGGUGGGAAGAAGAAAGGCAAGAAAGGGAGGCAGCUUGAUCCAGCUCUUCUCGGUUUCAAAGUCACUAGCAAUCGCAUUCUUAUGGGUGAAAUUCACCGCGCUGAUGACUUUUAGUCAAUUCUGAUACCCUGAGAUCCAUUCAAGCGUUUCUUCUUCUCCGGCGUAAUCAUGGUAUAAUUCGAUCUUUGCUUAUAAGUAAACCCUUCUUAUGUUUUUGUUUCUCUUUGAUUUUUGAUGGUCAAUGAUUUUCUCUUUGUUUGAAAUAUGAAUCACGUGAACAUUGUUUCAAUUAGCUAGAUGAGUCCUAAUAAUAUCUUUACAAAAUCACAUAUUUUUCGAAAUUUGAAUUGGAUUAACUUCCUUAUAUCUGCAUUAUUGUGGAUUGUUUACUUGAUUUGUUUUUGUUGAGUGUGAAUGAAUACUUGAUCCGGGAUGAACCAUUACUAACUACGAUCAUGGUGGAUCCGGGAUAUGAUAUUGAUUGAUUCUGUGUUGAUUUUGUUAUUGCAGAAAACUUACAAAGCUGACUCGCAGACAGGAAAGUGGAGAAGUUUGACAACGUUUAUAAAGAGAGGUUUUGUUCCUGAGACCACUACGUGUACGUUUAUGUGUAUCUCUUUAAGAUAACCUGUAAGGAACCAUGGUCUGGAAUAUGAAUCAUUCCUGUAUACAAUGUGUAUGUUACAGCUCUCUUCCAGAUCAUGAGGACUGCAGCUAGCGGAGAUACGGCUUAAACCGAAUCACAUUCAAGCUAGAAGAAUCAAGUUUAGAAAUGAAUCAUUCUUCUGUUUUUCUCUUCUUUUACCGUAGAAUGCAACUUUAUGUUUACUUGUGCAUGCUAAUGUAAUAAAUAGUAUUUUCUACAAGUUAUCAUAUCUUCAAGUUAGUUCACUUGGUACGACCCACACGCAGUUGAAACUCUCUGUAUACAAGGAGCAAGUGUAGUUUCCACUAGAUCUCGUCAAGUCUUAUGAGGUUGAUUACUCACAGGUUUAAGGAGUUCUGACCAGGUACAGAGAGAUUAAAGGGAAGCAUGUGCGCACGUGGCAUGAUACUCGGGAUCGUUAGCCGAGAAAUCAGAUACGAUUUUUGUUCGAUUUUUUAGUAUAUCCUUUUUCCGAAUUUUAAAAUAAUAAAAACUUUAAAUAACUAUUGCUCAACAACCUUAGAAAAUUGAGCUUGUUCUUAUAUAAAAAUCUCCACUUUGCCAUUAUUACAUUUUUUCGGGCUUUACACUGUACGAAGCCCAAGUCAUUCUCUUCACACAUUAACUAAAGCCCAAUAGCAUUUAAUUGGCCCAAUAAGAAUAACAAAUUUCGAUCCACUUUUCUAGGUUUGCGAAGGUAAAGUUGAAACGAGGACGACCAUAAAAACCAACUCGAAAGGCAAUUAAAAACAAAAUAAUAGAAAUUUUCUUCAAGAUCGCGAUCUUCAAUCCCGAAUCCCUAAUCCAUUCAAGCUUCUCCUCUCUUCUCCGGCGUAAUCAUGGUAUACUUCCUCUAAAGUCAACCCUUCCCUUUUUGUUAAAUCUGUGCAGCUUCUUCUUCUUCUCUCUGUAACUCCGAUCUCCCAGAUCUGAUUCACGAGCUUAACUAUCAAUGUUUGAAUCACGCGAAGUUUGUUUUCAAUUAGCUAAAUUGAGAUCCUAAUUUCGAAUCGGAUUAGCUGAAUUUAUUCCACUCUUUGUUUUGUGGUUGUUAGGACGUUCGAUCUCCUGCUCCCGUUCCCGUUGGAUCUCGGCGGCGUGAUAACAAGUGGUCAUCUCGUUGGGGUCCUGACGAUAAAGAGAAAGAGAAAGAAACCAAGGUUGACUACAACAACAAGGAGGAGGUUCAAAGUGAGACUCAAUCUGUGAUUGGGAGCCUCCGUGACUCUGAGACUCGUGAUAAAUGGAGGCCACGUCAUCGGAUGGAGCAGGUCCAGAGUGGUGGACCAGCUUCUUACCGUGCUGCGCCUGGGUUUGGACUUGAUAAAGGACGAAGUGAGGGACGAAGUGAGGGUCCAAACAUAGGGUUCACCGUUGGUCGGGGUAGGGCGAGGGGUACUUGGUCUGCUUUCUUUGGCGCUGGAGGGUUCUUGAGAAACGAAAGCGUUCCUGGUAAACCUGCGCCUACGUGUCGGUAUGUGAGGGGGAAGUUGCUUGACUUGUAUAGAAACCAGAAGCCUGAUAGGAUGCCUAUUGAUAUGGAGGAGGUUGAUUCUGUAACUCAAGUGGCUUUGAUUGAACCUCUUGCUUUUAUUGCCCCUGGUGUUGAAGAAGAGGUAUGAUCCUUACUUGAGGACUUGCUUUUUUCCUUUCUCAUGAGUGUGUCAUUGUUUUGUAACUAAUUUUCAUGUGUUUGUGGUCUGGGUGUUAUAUAUUUAUUUCAGGAAAGCCUUAAGGGUAUAUGGAAGGGAAGGAUCACUAGUAGCGAAGCUCACACUUCACCUGGGGAAGAAUCUUUAGCUGAGGAGAGUAUGGGUAUGUGUAAUCUUGUUUUUUCGUUGCUUUGCUUCUAUCUUUCCAACUAGCUUGGAUAAUGAAUGCUUCUGUGACUUGAUUCAGGUGAGACGAAAGUGGAUGGUGCUUUGCUAGGGGUUAUGAGUGGUGACAGUGUUUCCAUGCAUAAUAGUAAUUCAGGUAUGUGAAUAAUAGGUGCUAUACGGGUAUUCAAAUUCAUGAGUAUUAAAGCUUAAGUCCAUUGUUAUGAGUUUGAUGGUAUUUUAGUGUUCUAUUAUAUAUUCUGACCCAUAUCCAAACAACUGUUGCUGUAGGAGUACUUGGUAGUCAUAAUGGAGGCUUGUGGGGUGCUUCUGAAAGUGAUCAAGUUUCUCGUGGAAGUCCUGAAGCAGUUAGAUCUGCUUUUGAUAAAUCUUCUGUGUUGGAUGCGGAUGAACCCAUUGUUACGGGAAAGCUGCAGCAACCUGAUAUUGAAGUGAAUCACUCCGAAGGGACUCUGCCACCUGAGGAGUUUAUGUUCUCGUACAUUGAUCCUCAAGGAGUAAUACAGGGACCGUUCAUUGGAUCUGACAUUAUUUCAUGGUUUGAGCAAGGGUUUUUUGGGACUGAUCUACAGGUCCGCUUGGCAACUGCUCCAGAAGGGACUC
rnacentral:lncRNA from 1 species